UGUUUUUGGAGAGAGAAAACUACGUAGUUAGCGAUAGUUUGCGAUAUUUUACGAUAUUUUUACGAUUGAUACGAUUGAUUGAUUGUCAAUCCCAGAGUUUGCUUUACGAACCAGUGCAAACGAAGAAGCCAUGAACGCCUACACCAGUUCAGAGGCUCCAGUAGUCCCAGGAGACCUUAUUAUACCAUUGAUGAAAGAUUUCUUUUUGUCUAUCUCAUUGGAGCAGACCGUGGAGUUGGCCAUAGGAGAACCCGAUGCUGACACCUUAUCUAAGGUAAAGGAGCUGGUGUUGAAUGUCGCAGAUCAAUGUACCGGCUACGUUCUGCGCAACAUCUACAAAGGACGCUUCACAUCUGGGGAUGUGGAAACCGCUGUGGGCAAGUCAGUGCUAACAUCAUUUGUAGACUUCCUUAAGAUGCAUCGAACGACUCAACCCAAGAGCUUUGACACCUUCAACAAGCUAUUUGUCAAACUUGUCAAAGAAAAAGUUAGCUAUUUCCUCGGCCCCAUGGAUGAUGAAUUAGCUUUUCAUGUCUCUGAGAUGGACAGAGUGGAUCUAGUACUUCCACAUGCAGUGAGACUGAUAGAGGAACUGUUAGCUGAGAGGUGUAUACAACAUCGGCAGAGUAAGCAAAACGUUGCUGAAGACCAGCAAGAUGCCCUCAAUAGGCAGAACAGGGUAAAUGAUUUUAUCUCUAAAGAAAAUAAAUCAGAUCUUUAGAUGGUGGAUGGAUUUACAUCUCAUAAGAUUUCUGAAAUGAUGAAGGUCAAUUAUUUUAUGUCUAAGGAAAAGGAGUUGGAGCUGAAGAUGGUGGAUGAAUUCAUUUCUGAGGAGCUUUCAAAAUUGAGCAAGAAAAAGAAGUCAGAGCUGAAGAGGGUGAACAAAUUCAUCACUGAGAAGGUUUUAGAAGUGAGCAAGGUAAAGAAAUGUAUCUUUAAAAAGAAGGAAUCAGAUCUUUAGAUGGUGGAUAAAUUUAUAUCUGAGGAGCUUUUAAAAUUGAGCAAGAUUUCUGAAAUGAUGAAGGUAAAUUAUUUUAUCUCUAAGGAAAAGGAGUUGGAGCUGAAGAUGGUGGAUGAAUUCAUUUCUGAGGAGGUUUUAGAGAUUAAUAAGAAAAAGAAGUCAGAGCUGAAGAGGGUGAACAAAUUCAUCAGUGAGAAGGUUUUAGAAGUGAGCAAGGUAAAGAAAUUUAUCUUUAAAAAGAAGGAAUCAGAUCUUUAAAUGGUGGAUAAAUUUAUAUUUGAUAAGAUUUCUUAAAUGAUGAAGGUAAAUUAUUUUAUCUCUAAGGAAAAGGAGUUGGAGCUGAAGAUGGUGGAUGAAUUCAUUUCUGAGGAGCUUUUAAAAUUGAGCAAGGAAAAGGAGUUGGAGCUGAAGAUGGUGGACAGAUUCAUUUCUGAGGAGGUUUUAGAGAUGAAUAAGGUAAAUUAUCUUAUCUUUAAAAAGAAGAAAUCAGAACUUUAGAUGGUUGAUUAAGUUAUAUCUGAUGAUGUUACAGAGCUGAUUAAGGGGUUGUUUCCAAUGUUCAGCCCUUUCACACAAUUAUGUGAAAGAAGGAGCCAGUUUCAGCGAUAGGGUGUUUUAACUAGUCUACAGUUUAAAUAAACACUGCAUGAAUUUGAACAAGACAAACCAUAUAUAACAACCAACCCAGAUGAUGAUGCUAGACAUAAUAUUUAUCCCUCUGUUUGAACAAAGUAUUGAUAUAGAGUUUUCUACCCAAUCGAUAUAUGUAGUUGAUAGUAAAAAUAUUCAAAUGUUGAGUUUGCAUGUGGACUUUGCUUUUUAAAAAUAUAUAUUCCAGUGUAUUCCAUUUUUGCAAAAUGUGUAAACAACAAUUUUAUCAAACAAUAGGUUGAAUAUCUCAAUUAUACUAAAUUGGGGCUUGCCAAAAUCAGCCUCUAUUGGUACGCUUGUGGGGAGGGCGUUAAAAAAAAGGAUGUUUGUACACUUGUGAAAAUAUCUAGGAUUUUUAUCAACCCCUAAGAUAAAUUAUUUUAUCUGUAAGAAAAAGAAGUCAGAGCUGAAGAGGGUGAACAAAUUCAUCACUGAGAAGGUUUUAGAAGUGAGCAAGGUAAAGAAAUGUAUCUUUAAAAAGAAGGAAUCAGAUCUUUAGAUGGUGGAUAAAUUUAUAUCUGAGGAGCUUUUAAAAUUGAGCAAGAUUUCUGAAAUGAUGAAGGUAAAUUAUUUUAUCUCUAAGGAAAAGGAGUUGGAGCUGAAGAUGGUGGAUGAAUUCAUUUCUGAGGAGCUUUUAAAAUUGAGCAAGGAAAAGGAGUUGGAGCUGAAGAUGGUGGACAGAUUCAUUUCUGAGGAGGUUUUAGAGAUGAAUAAGAAAAAGAAGUCAGAGCUGAAGAGGGUGAACAAAUUCAUCACUGAGGAGGUUUUAGAAGUGAGCAAGGUAAAGAAAUGUAUCUUUAAAAAGAAGGAAUCAGAUCUUUAGAUAGUGGAUAGAUUUAUAUCUAAUAAGAUUUCUGAAAUGAUGAAGGUAAAUUAUUUUAUCUCUAAGGAAAAGGAGUUGGAGCUGAAGAUGGUGGAUGAAUUCAUUUCUGAGGAGCUUUUAAAAUUGAGCAAGGUAAAUUAUUUUAUCUUUAAGAAGAAGGAACCAGUUUGAGCAAUAGGGUGUUUUAACUAGUCUACAGUUUUAAAUGAACACUGCAUGAAUUUGAACAAGACGAACCAUAAAUAACAACCAACCCAGAUGAUGAUGCUAGACAUAAUAUUUAUCCCUCUGUUUGAACAAAGUACUGAUAUAAAGUUUUCUACCCAAUCGAUAUAUGUAGUUGAUAGUAAAAUAUUCAAAUGUUGAGUUUGCAUGUGAACUUUGCUUUCUAAAAAUAUAUACUCCAGUGUAUUCCUUUUUUGCAAAAAAGUGUAAACAACAAUUUUAUCAAACAAUAGGUCGAAUAUCUCAAAUAUACUAAAUUGGGGCAUGCCAAAAUCAGCCUUUAUUGGUACGCUUGUGGGGAGGGCGUUAAAAAAAGGAUGUUUGUACACUUCUGAAAAUAUCUAGGAUUUUGAACAACCCCUAAGAUAAAUUAUUUUAUCCUUAAGAAAAAGAAGUCAGAGCUGAAGAGGGUGAACAAAUUCAUCACUGAGGAGGUUUUAGAAGUGAGCAAGGUAAAGAAAUUUAUCUUUAAAAAGAAGGAAUCAGAUCUUUAGAUGGUGGAUAAAUUUAUAUCUGAUGUCUGAAAUGAUGAAGGUAAAUUAUUUUAUCCCUAAGGAAAAGGAGUCAGAGCUGAAAAUGGUGAACAAAUUCAUCACUGAGGAACCAUCAGAGGUCAUGGACAUCAAAGAGAUCAUGUCUAAACAGCAACGUUUACAGACCCAGGAUAUCUCAGAGGAUAUCUUUGAACCCAGUAACAAUCAAGAGUUGAAUGACAGAGCUGUUCCAGUAACCACAGCAAAACAGCAGAACAAAGGAGUUGGAGUGAGAAUCAAAACGUUCCUUCAAAAAUACAGUCUGGGACGAUACAAGGAAGUUGCACCACAGCAGUCACUGGUUGUUAAAGAGGAAACCAGUGAGGAGGAGACGGAUGUCGCAGGGCUGAAAAAAUCACUGUCUGAGGAGCAGAUUCAUCAAGGAGUGAAUGGAAAGGGACAAGAGCUGAAGCCGAGAUCAGAGACUUCCACACAUGGAUGUUGGGCCUGCGCCAUUGGCUUUGUAGGGGAGGAUUGAACCUUAAAAAAAUAAAUAAACACAGAUGAAAAACCAGACACCGCGACUUCUCUUCAGUGACCAGCAGGGGGAUUAGUUUAUUUCAGACUUAAAGUCAUCUUCAUUUCACAGUAAUCCCAACAAUAUGGGGUAACUUUCAGCCUUUAUAGGGAUACAGUAUGACGUAAAUGGGAACAUAUCUUAUUGUGCACGGGCGCACAGUAAGUCCCUUCUUAGUUGGAAAGGCGUGUGUGUGUGUGUGUGUGUGUGUGUGUGUGUGUGUUUCCAUUUUUGAGAAGUCUUAAACAGGCCUUUGGAAAAACAGAAACAUAAUAGGAGCCAAGAGUAGUUCAACUAAAGUUCCUUUGGCCUUACUUUACUCCUGUUGUGAUUCUGUAAAAACAUUAUAGAACUAAUCAUUCGUUGGGCAGUGAUUUCAGUUAUUAAACAGAAUUCAACCUUGGCAAUGAUAAACUAUCAGGCCGUUCUCUUCAGUACCAUGCUGAUGAUUUCCGCCAUAGCUUUAGUCUCAGAGAAGGAAGAGCGGCAGUCACCCAUCAGCCUGCUCAUUAAUGCACUUAUCAUGCA